rnacentral:rRNA from 1 species
AUUGAACGCUGGCGGCAUGCCUUACACAUGCAAGUCGAACGGCAGCACGGGAGCAAUCCUGGUGGCGAGUGGCGAACGGGUGAGUAAUGUAUCGGAACGUACCUUUCAGUGGGGGAUAACGUAGCGAAAGUUACGCUAAUACCGCAUAUUCUGUGAGCAGGAAAGCAGGGGAUCGCAAGACCUUGCGCUGAUUGAGCGGCCGAUAUCAGAUUAGCUAGUUGGUGAGGUAAAGGCUCACCAAGGCGGCGGUCUGUAGCGGGUCUGAGAGGAUGAUCCGCCACACUGGAACUGAGACACGGUCCAGACUCCUACGGGAGGCAGCAGUGGGGAAUUUUGGACAAUGGGCGCAAGCCUGAUCCAGCCAUGCCGCGUGAGUGAAGAAGGCCUCGGUUGUAAGUACGUACUUUCUAGCCGGGAACGGAAAACGACGAAUAGGUUAAGUACCUACGUACGUGGAGUGACGGUACCGGAACGUAAGAAGA